CCUACGGGAGGCAGCAAUAGGGAAUCUUUCACAAUGGGCGAAAGCCUGAUGGAGCAACGCCGCGUGCAGGAUGAAGGCCUUCGGGUUGUAAACUGCUUUUAUAAGCGAGAAAUAUGAUGGUAACUUAUGAAUAAGGAUCGGCUAACUACGUGCCAGCAGCCGCGGUCAUACGUAGGAUCCGAGCAUUAUCCGGAGUGACUGGGUGUAAAGAGUUGCGUAGGUGGCAUAAUAAGUAGCUAGUGAAAUCUGGUGGCUCAACCAUUCAGACUAUUAGCUAAACUGUUAAGCUCGAGACCGUUAGGGGUAACUGGAAUUUCUAGUGUAGGAGUGAAAUCCGUAGAUAUUAGAAGGAACACCAAUAGCGUAGGCAGGUUGCUGGGACGGUUCUGACACUAAGGCACGAAAGCGUAGGGAGCAAACGGGAUUAGAUACCCGUGUAGUC
rnacentral:rRNA from 1 species